rnacentral:snRNA from 1 species
AUACUUACCUGGCAGGGGAGAUACCAUGAUCACGAAGGUGGUUUUCCCAGGGUGAUGCUUAUCCACUGCACUCCUGAUGGGCUGACCCCUGCAAUUUCCCCAAACGUGGGAAACUCGACUGCAUAAUUUGUGGUAGUGGAGGACUGCAUUCGCGCUUUCCCUUG